GUUUAUUUGGCUCACUUGGCCUAAUUCAGCUCUUGCAGGGCCCGUGUGGGGAGUACACUCUAUCAUAGUGACCCAAAGGUGAAAGCUUCUCACAGGCCCUGAACCAGUUCAAUAAGAAGUCAGUUUACUGUACUUGGUGCACAGCAGCUGAUAGCCUGGCUUAGCAGAACUCUUCUCCUGUUGGCUAACAUCUCUGCCACAAAGACAGUGAUUCAAAAAGCCAAACCACUUCAGCUGGUGAGACUGCACUGGUGUCUGGGGGAUGCAGCAGGCUAUCAGAGUUUGGCUGCUGCUAUUUGACUCACUUUCCUGAUUGAUCAGACCCUGAAGCAGUUUGAUGUUGAUAAUUCUUAUUGUGUUUGAAAACGUCAUUUACUUUGAAGAAAAUUUAAAGAUGGCCAAUGAAAAUGGUUCCGUCUAUGAGGAAGGGGAAAGAACAGAGGAAGAUGGAAUAUGAGACUGCAACAAGCAAGAGAUGGUGAGGCCCAGAAAUUUCAGCACUUAAAGAAUCAAUGAUGUCAUGAUGACCCAUGGAUUUCAAACCAAGGCCGUUAGGGUUCAUGGGACCUGCCACAUGCCAGACUUCCACCUUGCAACCUGCUGACAAUGGCUCAUCAGUGACUCAAGAAGCCCAGUCCCAGUGUGAGACUCUGCACCUGAGUUCUAAUUGGCGGUGUUUCAGAGUGGCUGUCUGAUGCACUGCCCCUACAUAAGCCAGCAGCAGGAACAGGAAGCUGUCUGAACAACUGGGCUCUGAACUGUGAGCUUUGUGCUUCCUGCUCCCUGCCUUGAUUUCCUGGCUUGUAUUUCCUCACCUUCAGUUUGUCUCCAGCCUCUGACCCCCUGUUAUCCUGACUCGUGGUUUUGAUCUCUAGUUUGUCUCCCUCGCAGUACCCUGACCCAGCUGACUCUUGACUCCUGUCUUGACUGUGGACUCUGGCUCCAACUACUAGAAAAGUUGCACAAGUACUAAAGUGAAUUCCAGGUUCUAUAUUUUGUGGUGUGAUGAUAAUAGUUUGCAUCACUACAGCACACUGUUUACCAUCCAAGACAUUAUAGUGUGAUUGCAUAAUAGUUGAUAGAAAACAGGAUACAAAACAUUGUGUUUAGCAGGAUGCUGAGCUAGUUUGCAACAUCAAGUUUGAAAAUAUUC